GUCCCAAGCUCCCAAGGAAGGAGUUGACAGCUAUGUGAAAUGUAGAAAAUAGAAAGAAUUCGAAAAGUGAAAUCAAUAUUCAGCAAGAUGUUUGACCAUGUUUGACACUGAAAAACUAACUUGACUUGGUAAUGGAUGUUUUGUAAAUGCUGAAUCCAAGAACUUCGUCAUUUCACUUGAUUGACUUUCUUUUCCGAUUUUAAUAAUGGUGAUAUUGCAGACACACCAUAUUGCAAGUACUUACCUGAGCAGCUGAGCUCUUCCUUUCUGUGGUUCCUUUCAAUUGAUUCAUUUGAGACCCUAUCCACUAGUGGAAUAUGUAGAGAGAUGUUCAACUUAUUCCAAGUAUCUUGUCAUUAUCUAGCCAACCCCCCGUAAAUAAGGUAGAAGUAGAUAACUUACAAGUGCAUAUCUGGGCCCCCUUCUUUUCUGUCGUCCCGUUUCCCUAACUAACCACUAACCAACGUCCGCCGGUGGUCACUGACCCGCUGUGAUAACUAGGAGGAUGAGGAGGGCUCUGGUCGAAUGGAAACUUAAUUUCUCUCUUUUUCCUUGUCCAGGUAAACACGCUGGGCACAUUAUGAAAGGGAAAGUUUCCUCGUCUUGAUUAACUGCAAAUAAAAACAGUAUACUGCAGACAAUACAACAACAUACUGGUUGCAACUUCCGCAACAUGAAAUUAUCUUCAAAGAACAACCACUGUUCAACUUGAUGCAAAAAGUCUUUUAC